rnacentral:tRNA from 1 species
GCCUGGGUGGCUUGGUCGGUUAAGCGUCUGACUUCGGCUCAGGUCAUGAUCUCACAGUCCGUGAGUUCGAGCCCCACAUCGGGCU